UGUUUAUGGAGAUGUGGACUACCUGCACUUAGAUAGAAAGACCCUAUGAAGCUUCAUUGUUCCCCGUGACUGGCUUUGAGCCUUUCCUGCGUAGCUUAGGUGGAAGGCGAAGAAGGCCCCCUUCCGGGGGGGUCCGAGCCAUCAGUGAGAUACCACUCUGGAAGAGCUAGAAUUCUAACCUUGUGUCAGAACCUACAGGCCAAGGGACAAUCUCAAAUAGAUAGUUUCUAUAGGGCAUAGGCCUUCCAAAAGAUAACGGAGGUGUGCAAAGGUUUCCUCGGGCCGGACGGAGAUUGGCCCUCGAGUGCAAAGGCAGAAGGGAGCUUGAGUGCAAGACCCACCCGUCGAGCAGAGACGAAAGUUGGCCUUAAUGAUCCGACAGUGCCGAGUGGAAAGAGCAUCGCUCAACGGAUAAAAGUUACUCUAAGGAUAACAGGCUAAUCUUCCCAAGAGUUCACAUCGACGCGAAGGUUUGGCACCUUGAUGUCAGCUCUCCGCCAUUUGGGGCUGUAGUAUGUUCUAAGGGUUGGUCUGUUCUCCCAUUAAAGCGGUACGUGAGCUGGGUUCAGAACAUCGUAAGACAGUUCGGUCCAUAUCCAGUGUGGGCGUUAGAGCAUUGAGAGGACCUUUCCCUAGUACAAGAGGACCGAAAAGGACGCACCUCUGGUGUACUAGUUAUCAUGCCCACGGUAAACGUUGGGUAGCCAAGUAUGGAGUGGAUAACUGUUGAAAACAUCUAAGUAGUAAGCCCACCCCAAGAUGAGUGCUCUCCUAUUCUGACUUCCCUAGAAACUUCGGUAGCACAGCCGAGACAGCAACGGGUUCUCUACCCCUGCAGGGGUGGAGUGAUAGAAGUUUUGAGAAUUCAAAAGAAGGUCACAACAAGACCAGCCGUUUAUCAUUAUGAUAAGUGUCAAGCGGAAGUGCAGUGAUGUAUGUAGCUGAGCCAUCCUAACAGACCGG
rnacentral:ncRNA from 1 species